GUGAAACCCUGUCUCAAAAGAAAAAAAGGGGCAGAUGGUUGAGGGCUCACAUUCAUCCCAAACUUAGCAUUUGCCAGGAACCAAGACGCCAUUCCCUCCUUCCUUACCUUCCUCGGAUAUCCUGUCUUCUUAAGACAGCUUUAGUGAGGAGCUGCGAAAAUGCAGACAUUUCUCAAUGUUAGCAUUGCAUGAAUCCCUGGGAAACUGUCAUCAGAGCACUGGGAACGGAUGUGAUGUCCCACUUAUGCUUUGGGGGUGUCCAAACUUGACUAGCUGGGGAGUCUAUACAUAGCGAGUAGGAUAUAUAAAGGCCCACUCCUUCCUGACUCAUGCAACAACACUUAGCUACAGCCUUCUCUGUGUCGGCAACUAGGCUGUACACUGGGGACAGAGAGCUUUGUUUAUGGUUUAAUUGGAAGACAGAUCUGUAAGCAGAUAAUUAUAAAAUAAUGUGCUGGGAUAAUAUGACCAUAUUUAGUGUAUAUAGGCAUGAGAUUCUGAAGAUUAAAGAAAGAUGUUAAAAAAAUACCCCCCAACCCAAUAAUAUGCUAGGUGCAGUGAUAGAGUCCAACAAGGGAGCAAGAAAGGAGAAAUGGGUGUGCAGAGAGGAAGGGCGGGGUGUGCAGCAUGACCCACAACCAAUAGCCUUCCUGUCCAGCGCUCCUGCAUUGGGACAAAGAUCAUAAGGCUUGAAAGAAAAGUGCCUGGACUCUGCCUCCAGAAUGUCAUCUCCCCAGCAAACAAAGUGGCUCUCGCCACAUACUUCAUACUUGUCCUUAAAAACAAUGGAACUAGGGAUUCUUCCUGUACUGUGGAAUCAUGAAACCUUGGGUGGUAAACCUGUCCAAUUGAACCGUGAUGGACAGAAAUGAAACCGUGGGUGAUAAAACGGGCUCCUCCUGCAUCUUAAUGGUGUCAGUGACACCAGAGCCCUGACAGUUGUGAUGGCUAAUUGUCAUGUCUUCGUUACCUAGGAGACACAUCUCUAGGCAUGUCUGUGAGGUUGUUCCUAGAGGGAUUUAACUGAGGAGGGAAGACCCACCACAGUCCUGGAUGACAUCAUCUCAUAGCGUGGGCGCCUAGGCUGAAUAAAAGAGGACAGAAGGAAAACACCAGGUCCAUCUUGUUCUUUAGCCAGAUGAUCUUGGGCUGGAAGACGAAGAUGAAGCAGCACAGAGCAGGGGAGGAGCCAAUCAUCCUUUCUACACUUAGAGGCCCUGCCCACAGGCUUGUAGAUGGCCGCUUUCUGCCCGUUCCCUGCCACCAUGCUGUGGGGAGAUUCCCCUUUCGGUACCUCGAGCAACCACAGAGUCUCUUCCUGCAUUGAGUAUCGUGCCUAAAGCCUAGUCUAUGUCAACAGAGGUCCUGACUUGGAAGAAAUUGUUCAGGAGCCAUCAUGGGCAUCAAAGUCUGCUUUUUAAAAUUCUAAAGACUAUUUUUGUUUUAAGUCAGGGUCUCAUUAGGUAGACUUGGCUGUUCUCACUAUGUGGACUAGGCGAGCCCCAGACUCACAAAGAUCCACCCCUACCUCUGCUCUGUAGUUGUGUGACUAAAGCUGUGCAUCUCCACGCCUAGCUGUGGGUGCCACCAAAAACUCUUUUAAAAUAA